rnacentral:rRNA from 1 species
GAAGCUGGAUUCGCUAGUAAUCGCGCAUCAGCCAUGGCGCGGUGAAUACGUUCCCGGGCCUUGUACACACCGCCCGUCAAGCCAUGAAAGCCGGGGGCGCCUGAAGUCCGUGACCGCGAGGGUCGGCCUAGGGUGAAACCGGUGAUUGGGGCGAAGUCGUAACAAGGUACC